rnacentral:rRNA from 1 species
UAGAGUUUGUACUCUGGCUCAGGAGAACGCUGGCGGCGUGCUUAACACAUGCAAGUCGAACGAUGAAGACCGGUGCUUGCACUGGUUGGAUUAGUGGCGAACGGGUGAGUAAUACGUGAGUAACCUGCCUUUGACUCUGGGAUAAGCCUUGGAAACGAGGUCUAAUACCGGAUAUGACACAGUUUCGCAUGAAAUCUGUGUGGAAAGGGUUUGUACUGGUUUUAGAUGGGCUCACGGCCUAUCAGCUUGUUGGUGGGGUAAUGGCUCACCAAGGCGACGACGGGUAGCCGGCCUGAGAGGGUGACCGGCCACACUGGGACUGAGACACGGCCCAGACUCCUACGGGAGGCAGCAGUGGGGAAUAUUGCACAAUGGGCGCAAGCCUGAUGCAGCGACGCCGCGUGAGGGAUGACGGCCUUCGGGUUGUAAACCUCUUUCAGCAGGGGAGAAGCGAAAGUGACGGUACCUGCAGAAGAAGCGCCGGCUAACUACGUG